rnacentral:piRNA from 1 species
AUUGCCCUGGCCUUGGAGGUCACUUA